CAAAUGCAUGUCUUUGAAUUAAAAUGACAUAUUUACUUAGCUACUUAAUGUAUUUAUUUAUAAUGGUAGCCUUUUAAAGGUGACUAUGUUUACUACACCAAAUCAUCAUUGUUAGAAUGAUUUAUACUGAUUUCAUACCUUUUUAAAAAAUUAAAUUUAUGUGUUUAACCCUAAAACAAGAGAAUAUGCCUAUUUUUAAUGAAUACUUUUAUUUACUUAAAUUGUCAUUUAUUGAUAUUUGAGUUUUUUUAUAAUAUG
rnacentral:lncRNA from 1 species